AAUCUUUGGAAAGAAACGCAACAAGACAUCAAAUGUUGUGGAAAAGUAUUGCAAGAGGGAUGACUGGCCAAUGGCAUUUAUCCGUUCAAAGCUGCAAUCGACAAUGACUUCCACCGGAAUAUCCGCCUGGACAAGAAAUUUAUUGGCUGGCUGACCACGAAUCACUACGCUAUUACUCUUGAGUUCGCUGGCGAUGCGAUUGCGAUCCGGGAAAUGGAUGCGGGUUCCAGUUUCUUUCAUCGUACGAUUGAUGUUCUUCCCCGAUCUGCCAAUAAGAUGCGAAUGAAAUGGAUAGCUCACUUCUAUCGAUAAAGUAGCUAAUAAUGGACCCUAUGAAGUAAAAGUAAGCAACGUUUAUAACUCUCUAUGUAAUUCAAAUCGGUAUUAAAAUUAAAGGGAUCAAGAUUAAUUGACUUACCAGAGAGUGCUGAGAAAGAGCUGGCGGAGGAGAGUUGACAGAGAACAUGGCAGGGCAUCGAUGGAAACGCGAAUGAUGGUUCUUCGUGGGAAGCACUGGGGGUAUUUAAGGCCAUUCGAGGUCAAACAACCUGAGUUCGUGGUCUCACCGUCAUCUUUCUUCUCCAAACAGAGCCGCUUUUCAGCAGAAGGGGGGAAGGCGUUGUUGGUCGCUUAAGCACUGGAUUAUCCCCAAGGAGGGCGUUAACAGCAAAGGGGGGACGGCAACAUUCUUUUCAUUUGAACUGCUUCUUUGGAAUCGAAAUUGCCGGAAAAAAAACAAAACAAAAACACGGUGUGUGUUGAAAACUGGGGGGUUCGCGCUGAAGUGUUGUGUUAUCGUGACUUUGGGAAUGGCUCUCUUUAACGGAGGGAUAAAUGACGACUACCUGCCCAAGAAUGACUCCACGAGUUGUUCAAUCCUUGCGACACCAUCCGCGGCAAAACAUUACUGUUGUUCGUCGUUUACUCCAGAACCAAAAACCAAUCAAAUAAGAUUAAAUCCGUCUGAUCGGUUUCGGACGUUCCGUAAGCUAGCAGAAAUAUCAGCCAUCAAUGUCAUACCAUACAAAGGAAUGAAGCACAAUCAUGUUUGAUACUUUUUUGUUUCUUUUCGCCUCAUUUUCCAUUCUUGCUUUGCUUGCGUGCUUGGACUGAUGGAAAAUCUGAUGGAAGAUACCGAUGGAAAAUCAGUGUUAUAUAAUCUUGGAUAUGCCUUUUUUAAAGCCAUAAUACGAACGUUUAUGAGUUUGCAGAGAGCAAUGGCAGUCGUCAGUGGGAAGAUACAGUCUCACUGCGGUGGCGUCAUCUGACGAUGUAUUUUCAUCAGUUUCCACUGUCAUUCAUUCUCCAAUUUUGUUUUUUAGAGUAAUCUACGAUAUUUUUGUUUCAUUGUUUUGUUUAUUUUUCACCUAAAUUCUACUUCUGUUAUAAGAAUGGCUUCAAAAUGUGUUUUCACAGAAAAGAGGAAGCCCGUUGGUAAGCAACAUAUUGAAACAGUUUCCAGACCAAAUUUAGAUCAAGCUUGUCAGUGACUCAUCAACGUCACUGAUUUUCUACAGGUCAGUGACUCAUCAAAGUCACUACUCAAAUGAAAACUUAUUUAAGUGGGUACUUUGAUUUCUGGAAUUAUUCCCGUGCAACUUCAUACAUGCCAAUCAUGCCCUGUUGGAUCAAUGAGCUUGAAACUUCACAUGGAAAUCAACACAUCUGGUUAUCCAGAACUGUUUCAGGUGAAACAUUCUUCCUUUUAAAUGCUCUAAUUUAUUUUCCUUUUUAGUACAAACCAACAUUACCACUUUCGGCUAACAACAAUGGUGUGCCACUGAGAAAAUGAACCAUGCUAGUAUCCCUUUACAUAAAGUUAAACCUAUUCAAAUCAGAUGUGAGAUUGGAUGUGAGAUUCACCAGGGACAAGAGCAUGGGUAGCGCUGUGCCCAUAAUCCCGGAUCGUAGUUAUACCGGGUAAAGGCUCAUUAUGGUAGCAACCAUAUUAGGCGUGGUGUCACGCUGUGUUUGAUUCUAAAGAAACAACAUCUGCAAACCAUCGUGCACCAAGUUUGGUGAGUGUGGAAUCUGAGAACUCCUGUCAUUUUGGAUUGACGUAAACUUUUCAGUAAUAUAGGAUGGGAAGAAUUUAUAUGUGCGUAUCAUCAACAAAACAAUUAUGGGAAUUAGAGAAAGGGGAUAUAGUCGUACAUUCAUAAAUUUAGGGGCUGUGUGUCAUUUCAGGAACGACGUAAUCUGCUUGCGUUGUAAUACGAAACAGUCAGAAAAUAGUAAGUCUACGAUGGGCCAGUA